GGAGGAAAGCAGGGGAUCGUAAGACCUCGCGCUUUCGGAGUGGCCGAUAUCGGAUUAGCUAGUUGGUGGGGUAAAGGCUUACCAAGGCGACGAUCCGUAGCUGGUCUGAGAGGACGACCAGCCACACUGGAACUGAGACACGGUCCAGACUCCUACGGGAGGCAGCAGUGGGGAAUUUUGGACAAUGGGGGAAACCCUGAUCCAGCCAUGCCGCGUGAGUGAAGAAGGCCUUCGGGUUGUAAAGCUCUUUCAGACGGAAAGAAACGGUUACGGCUAAUACCCGUGACUAAUGACGGUACCGUCAGAAGAAGCACCGGCUAACUACGUGCCAGCAGCCGCGGUAAUACGUAGGGUGCGAGCGUUAAUCGGAAUUACUGGGCGUAAAGCGUGCGCAGGCGGUUUUGUAAGACAGGCGUGAAAUCCCCGGGCUUAACCUGGGAACUGCGUUUGAAACUACAAGGCUAGAAGGG
rnacentral:rRNA from 1 species